rnacentral:sRNA from 1 species
GUUUUAUUUAGAUUAUUCCAAAGCGAGAUGGGCCUUCCCCAUAGAGGAGGAUGGUCCUUUGGGUAAGGGUGUCUGAGUUGCUGGGCCCUGCUCGAACCUCCAAGUGCUCAAGGUCCGUUGAGGCGAAUGUGGGCUCGUCAAGAGUCCAAGACCCCAGACGUGUCCAAGCGAGGCGCUGCGUGUGGCGGUCUGCCUUUCUUU